UAUCUGAAUUGGACCCCUAUAUUGCCCCUCACCUCUUAUAGCACUCAAAUCCUUCUCAAACACCACUACAUCAAAACCUUUCUUUUUUGCAGCCAAUGCAAAAACCAACCCUCCAAUACCACCCCCAGCAAUCAAUAUCUUCAGCUUCGUCUUCUUCUCCAACUGGUUUCCAUCCAAAUCUUUCGUCUCACUUGAUUUGGAAACACUCUGGGUUCCAGCUCCCACUGUAGCUUUGACUUGUAAAAGCCCCUUCUUUUGGUUGUUUGCUUUGCUUCUAAAAUGGUAAUUGAAAUGUAUACAAGGAGAGGGUUCUAUUGGAAUAUCCUUAGAAAUGGAAACUGGAAACUGAGUUCCUGUGAAAAG
rnacentral:lncRNA from 1 species